UCCGUAGGCGGUGUGGCAAGUCGGGAGUGAAAUCUCUGGGCUUAACCCAGAGGCUGCUUCCGAAACUGCCAUGCUAGAGUGUGAGAGAGGCGAGUGGAAUUACGGGUGUAGCGGUGAAAUGCGUAGAUAUCCGUAGGAACAUCCGAGGCGAAGGCGGCUCGCUGGAUCACAACUGACGCUGAGGGACGAAAGCUAGGGGAGCAAACAGGAUUAGAUACCCUGGUAGUCCUAGCCCUAAACCAUCAGGACUUGGGGUGUGCCCUGUACGGGGCACGUCCCGUAGCUAACGCGUUAAGUCCUGCGCCUGGGGAGUACGGUCGCAAGGCUGAA
rnacentral:rRNA from 1 species